rnacentral:rRNA from 1 species
UAGGGAAUAUUGCUUAAUGGGCGCAAGCCUGAAGCAGCAACGCCGCGUGUGCGAUGACGGCCUUCGGGUUGUAAAGCACUUUUCACCGGGAAGAGGAAGGACGGUACCGGUGGAAUAAGCCUCGGCUAACUACGUGCCAGCAGCCGCGGUAAAACGUAGGAGGCGAGCGUUAUCCGGAUUUACUGGGCGUAAAGCGCGUGCAGGCGGGCGGGCAAGUCUGAUGUGAAAGCCCCGGGCUUAACCUGGGAAGUGCAUUGGAAACUGCUCGUCUUGAGUACUGGAGAGGAAGGGGGAAUUCCCGGUGUAGAGGUGAAAUUCGUAGAGAUCGGGAGGAAUACCAGUGGCGAAGGCGCCCUUCUGGACGGUAACUGACGCUGAGACGCGAAAGCGUGGGGAGCAACCA